AUGCACGCUGGCGGCGUGCCUAAUACAUGCAAGUCGAGCGAACAGACGAGGAGCUUGCUCCUCUGACGUUAGCGGCGGACGGGUGAGUAACACGUGGAUAACCUACCUAUAAGACUGGGAUAACUUCGGGAAACCGGAGCUAAUACCGGAUAAUAUAUUGAACCGCAUGGUUCAAUAGUGAAAGACGGUUUUGCUGUCACUUAUAGAUGGAUCCGCGCCGCAUUAGCUAGUUGGUAAGGUAACGGCUUACCAAGGCAACGAUGCGUAGCCGACCUGAGAGGGUGAUCGGCCACACUGGAACUGAGACACGGUCCAGACUCCUACGGGAGGCAGCAGUAGGGAAUCGUCCGCAAUGGGCGAAAGCCUGACGGAGCAACGCCGCGUGAGUGAUGAAGGUCUUCGGAUCGUAAAACUCUGUUAUUAGGGAAGAACAAAUGUGUAAGUAACUAUGCACGUCUUGACGGUACCUAAUCAGAAAGCCACGGCUAACUACG
rnacentral:rRNA from 1 species